UGGCGGACGGGUGAGUAAUGUCUGGGAAACUGCCUGAUGGAGGGGGAUAACUACUGGAAACGGUAGCUAAUACCGCAUAAUGUCGUAAGACCAAAGAGGGGGACCUUCGGGCCUCUUGCCAUCGGAUGUGCCCAGAUGGGAUUAGCUAGUAGGUGGGGUAACGGCUCACCUAGGCGACGAUCCCUAGCUGGUCUGAGAGGAUGACCAGCCACACUGGAACUGAGACACGGUCCAG
rnacentral:rRNA from 1 species